AAAUCCCCAAAUCAGCCGCCUGACCUAGCCUCCUCCUCGAGCACCCUUCCCCCCCGCCGCCGCCUACCCUCCGCAGCUGCCGACCGCCUACCCUCCGCCACACCUGAGUGCCACCUCCCUCCCUGACCACGCCGCCCUAGUGCCAUCCCUCCCAGACCACUCCCCCGAGCACCCUCCGCCGCCCCGACGACCAUUCGCCACCAGCCCCGCCGCUCCCUGGAGAUCCUCCAUCGAGCAGCGCCGUCGCUUCCAGGAGAUCCAGCCCGAGAAGCGUCGCUGCUUCCAGGAGCUCCUGGCACGGGCAGCGUCGCUGUUUCCAGAAGCUCCGUCCCGCCACGUCUUCGUCCUCUCCCCCAAGAGCGCCGACUACACCCUCUCCCCCGAGCAGAUGCCGCUUCUGCGUUCUUUCACACGAGCAGUGCCGCGUCGACUACAUCCCGGUCUCCUCUACUUCCUCACCCCAACCCACAAGCUACCAAAGAAAAAGAGAAAGAUGCCGAGGUCCUGCGGUGGCUAGGGUUGUGCGCACUGGUGUUGCCUAUGCGAGCGACACGGGGUGAGCAACUAGGAACCAAAAGAUGCCGACAGUAUUGAGUAGUCAGAUCAGCAAACCUGUGUUGGUAGUUCCAUCACUGAAACGAGUUCAACAAGUUUUGUCUCAAGCUUGUAAGUUUUGUCACGAGGAGGAGAUUGUUAGAAUGCUACAGAACUUCUACUACAUGAUAGUAGUUGGACCAGUCAACUAGGAUGCCCACAUGAUGUUUCUUGUAUUCAUAGCAACAACAGAAUCAUGUGGGGCGAGGUUAAGCUGUGAUCUUCAAAACAUUGCAAGUUUGGUGACUCUUCUGCGAGAGACAUGUGGCCCUCUUUGAAGGAUGCAGUUUCACAGGAUGGUGGCGAGUCAGUUAUUCACAAGACAUCUAAUAAAGCCAUCCAACAAACGGCUGCGAACGAGCAAUUUGUCUUCCUGAACAUGGCUGUAGCUGUGCGUCAAGCUCAAACCAUUUGUUUAUCUUAGUUUGAACAAAAGAAAUCUUAUUGUCUUAUGUAAAUUCUGUUUACCGAUGUAGUUGGAUGCUACCAAAUGGAUCUUUGAAUGUUGAGAUACUGAUGUUUUGAGUCAUUAUGUGUUUGAGAUCCGGUACUGAAUAUUGAGUCAA